UACGUACGAGGCAAGCGUUAUCCGGAAUACUGGGCGUAAGCGCGCGCAGGUGGCGAAGUAAGUGAGACGUGAAAUCUCCCGGCCUAACUGGGAGGGGUCGUUUUCAUACUGCUUGACUUGAGGACUGCAGAGGUGGGUGGAAUUCCUGGUGUAGUGGUGAAAUGCGUAGAGACUCAGGGAGGAACACCGGUGGCGAAGGCGGCCCAC
rnacentral:rRNA from 1 species